UGACCUCGGAUCAGGUAGGACUACCCGCUGAACUUAAGCAUAUCAAUAAGCGGAGGAAAAGAAACCAACAGGGAUUGCCCCAGUAACGGCGAGUGAAGCGGCAACAGCUCAAAUUUGAAAUCUGGCCCUCGGGUCCGAGUUGUAAUUUGGAGAGGAUGCUUCUGGCGCGGCGCCGUCCGAGUUCCUUGGAACAGGACGCCAUAGAGGGUGAGAGCCCCGUACGGGCGGACGCCUAGCCUUUGUGAAGCUCCUUCGACGAGUCGAGUAGUUUGGGAAUGCUGCUCAAAAUGGGAGGUAAAUUUCUUCUAAAGCUAAAUACCGGCCAGAGACCGAUAGCGCACAAGUAGAGUGAUCGAAAGAUGAAAAGCACUUUGAAAAGAGGGUUAAAAAGUACGUGAAAUUGUUGAAAGGGAAGCGCCUGUGACCAGACUUGCUGCCCGCGGAUCAUCCGGCGUUCCUCGCCGGUGCACUCCGCGGGCGGCAGGCCAGCAUCGGUUUUCCUAGGGGGUUAAAGGUCGCGGGAACGUGGCUCCUUCGGGAGUGUUAUAGCCCGCGGCGUCAUGCCUCUGGGGGGACCGAGGACCGCGCUUCGGCAAGGAUGCUGGCGUAAUGGUCACCGGCGACCCGU
rnacentral:rRNA from 2 species